GGGCGCUCUAACCACUACACCACGGAGGCGGUCGCGUUGGGUUGAAGCACGAGUUUGUGGUGAUUGGUGGAAGCGCAGGUUUGUGGUGUUGGGUGUGAACGUCGGGUCUGUAAUGUCGGCUUGAAACGUCGGGUUUGUAAUGUCGGGUGGAAACGCGGAUUUGAUGUGUAGGGUGGGGAAACAUGUUGGAAGAAUACCUCAGUUUGGGCAAAACAGAGCAGAUGACGAAAUGAAGAAAUUGAUACUAUCUUUGUGCCUGAGCUUCUAACAGAACAGCAUAUUAUGAAUCACAUUAAUACAAAUUACGGAGCUUC